UUUGUAAAAUUUCUUACAUACUUCUUUCUAAUCUCAAAUAAUGUUUUGUCCAACAAAUUACAUCAAAUGGUUUACAAGAUAUAUGUAUCCUCUCUUAGGAAACUGACAACUAAACUAGAAAUAUUUUAGGAAGAUAUGCAAAACUACCAUUUCUUACUACUCUUUUGCAACAAUACACUUUUAUGUUAUCCAUUUUAAAAAAUACCACUCAUCUGAACAGAAUGACCAAAUAACCCUUAUCUAAUAAAAACAUGUAACUGGAACUGAAAUUUUCCCACCAAAUUUUUAGUGCCAAAAUUUACUUUUCCCGCCAAAACAAAAUUCCGCCAAACUUUUUUCCUGCCAAAAAGAAAAUUUCCCGCCAAAAUGUUUUUCCCGUAACAAAUUUUUUCUCAACCAAAAUAAUCCUUUUAAAAAUCCUUAGAAAGUUUUUUAAAAGCUUUGAUAGUUAUUAAAAACCCUUAUAAAUCAUUUUAAAAUCUUUAUAAAGUCUUUAAAAACAUAUGUAAAUACUUUAAAAAUC
rnacentral:sRNA from 1 species